AUGUACCACUCGUACACUCCGGUCCUGUGCGCCGUCCGCACCCACCUGACGACUGCUCGCUACGUUUUGUUCGCC
rnacentral:sRNA from 3 species